AGGAGGUUUUUGUUAAGAAAUACAUUUGAAGUGACGUUAGGAAAAACAUACCCUUUCCGAAAACCCCAAAGAAUGUGAAGAAAGUCCAUCCGCAUUCAGCACUCAGUGGCUUUCCUGGGGAAGGGCGGGCGUGGGCCCCCGUGCUAACAUUUGCAUAGUAAAUGAGGGAAUGUUUACCAAGCAGUGUUCAGUGGUUUGAGGCUUGUAUAAAUAAAAGAUAAACAGAUGAGGAAGCCCAAGUGGAAAGACCGGUUUGGAACGUCUCACUGACUGACUGGUGGAGCCAUUGGGAGCGUUUUUCCAUCCCAGAAGGAAAAAGGGAGAGCAGCAUUUCCAGCCAGACUUCCAGAGAGUCUGCGGAACUCGUUAGGGAGGAGAGAUCUGUGCGGUGUCUGGGGAAACCGCCUCGUGUAAGGGUCUCAACAGAGUGUUUGAAGGGAAAAAGAAUAAGCUGUGAGGGGGUAGGACACACCCUGAGAAGGAAGAGAUACAAAGAUAUGUUCGAAUGGUGUCUCCUCAAAAUUCAUGUCCACCCAGAAUCUUAGGAUGGGACCUUAUUUGGAAAGGGCUGUUGCAGAUGUAAGGUCAGAGAUGAGAUCAUCCUGCCCUAGCAUUGCCCCGAAUCCAGGGACAGCGUCCUUCUAAGUGACAGAAAAGGACUCCGAGGAGGCAGAGGUUGGAGAGAUGUGGCUGUGAGCCAAGGCGCACCACGGUUUGCCGGUAACACCUGCAGCUGGAAGAUGUAAGGAGGGUGUCUCCUCAAGAGCUUCCAGAGGAGAAGCACUCUCACUAAGAAUGAGAUCUGUUUGCUCACGAAUGCUGACGCCUCUGAGAUCUGUUUGCUCACGAACACUGAUGCCUCUGAGAUCUGUUUGCUCACGAACGCUGACAACUCUGGAUGCUAGACUGGGUACAGAUAUUUAAUGGGAUUUGCCCUCAAGAUCGCCCAAACUCUUUUGAGAAAAUCGGAUGAGGACAUUGUCGGGCUGGCUUGUGGUGAGGACAGAGGUUGGAGAUAAGGUGUUCUGAAACCGUGACUUGACUUGCCCUCAGAGAGAUAAAGGCGUCCCACAAAAGGGCUUUGAUGUUGAGGGUGACCAACAUCGCAUCGGGACAAAGAAUGAUUAUUUGGUUACAGAAAGACAGGCUGAUCAAGUCAAAAUCUAGCAACUUGCAGCUUUCAUUUAGCUGGUAAGUUUUCAUUCCUUUGGGGUUAGAGCAAAUUUUGUAAUUAAAUUUGUGAUCAAAGAGCGUGGCCAGAAAUCUGCUUUUUAAUCCAAGAGCAGCAUCUGAAACCAGAGUCAAGACUGGAGAACCAGGGGCUGCCUUCUCGGUCAGACAGACUCGGAGGAGGCCAGUAUCCAGAUGGUGUCGCCUCAUACACUGCAAACCUGAAAACAGGCCACCGUGCCCACCUGCUCCCUGGAGGUCAGCCACAUGCGGAGAUCCACCCAGCAGAUAGGUUUUUGGAUUUUGCUGAUCGAUGGGAAGGAUCCAUCGAUGUGGAUUCCAAGCCUUUCAAUAAAAGCGACUUUGAUGUUGUUGGUUCUAGUUUUGCACUUUCUUUACUAAAGAAAAUGAAAAUAAUCCUUCCCUCAGUAUCAUCAAGAUCAUGAAGGCAAAUACAGCAUGAAUUUGAGAAAAGAUCCUAAACCGGAAAAAACGUGGUUGCAAAGGGCAUUCUAUUUGAAUAAGGAUGAUGGGUU
rnacentral:lncRNA from 10 species